CAACUUUCCGCCAAAAAGCAAAUGCGACAAAACUUUUUUUUUCCUCAUACUUUUCACGUUGGCUCUAGGUUUUCUCCUUUCAAUUACACAGUUACAAUUGAAAUUUUUGUUUGGUAUCUCUCUUCAUGUUCCCACCUCAAAAUCUAGCUUACUUCUGAAGGUUAAUUUAUCUCCUCUUUUGUUAAUGUAUUUAUAUUGAAGAACAAUUUUAAGAAUUCAAACAAUCACUCAAAUUCUUUACAAUCUUAUUUAUUUAGGGGAUUUUGUUCUUCGUUUUGUGUUUUUGGGAAGAUUUUAAUCAUCCAAAGUCCAUCGAAGAUAUGUACAAAACAAUUACGCCUACUUUCUACUCCAAGGUUUGUGUUAGGGUUUCUCUUUUUGCUCCGAAUCGUUGUCUUUCCAUACAGUAAAUAAGUAAUUUUAAUUUGUGAUAGCCAUCUUGCUUUUGAGAAAAUGAGGAAUAGGUAAACAUGAAUCGACCAUUUAUGCUAAUUUUAAGAAUUCCUCUGUUAUGCUCUUACGUGAAUAGGACAAGUGCUUUGCUUUGCUAGUUUCCAAUUUUCACAAUUUUCCUAUCGUAUUGAUAUGGGUAGUGGGUAAGAUCAAGAAAUCUUUAUUCUUUCUUUAGCUCUUCCUAAAUUUCUUUUUGGUAUUUCUUUGUUAAGCAUAUGAUUUCCCAAAAUGUCAAAAUGGGUAUUGGGUAGUUGAAUAUAUUUGAAGUAUCACUUUAAGUUUUUCAUGAAAAAUUUUACUUUCAACAUUUUCUAACUUUAUUUAGUGUAUUUUGGUAGUUUAUGAUGUAACAUACAAUGUGCAUUUAGAUUAAAAAUAUGAGGAAAGAUAAAUAUCAUGUGUAACCUAUUAUAAUUGCAGAACUUGUUCAUAGUUUUGUUUUAUACUUUGCCAAUUACUAGGUACUAGUCAGCCAUAUUAAAAGUUAGAGCUAUAAUAGUUAUACCUGCGGUAACUUUUCUAGUAAACUUGGAAUCAGAUAUCCUAGAAAAACAGAGUAGAAUUGUCGUCGGUCUUCCUUUGACAACUCUUUCUAUAAGCUUAGUAGUCUAGCUAUAGAUUACAAUUGAAAGUUAACACCAAUCACCAAUUCAUAUCAGGAUUAUCUUUAGAGGGAAAGAUAAUAUUUUGAGAAAAUCUCAUCUUUGAGAUCCUUAGGCACUGUUGGAAGGAGGUUUAGCAGCAGUUGUUAUAACACUUUUGCUCGACAAGCUCAACACCACCAUUGGAUUAUCUCUUAAUCAUCAAGUGCUUUCAGAUGAAUCUUUUCGGAUUGUAUCUCUAUUUUCUUGAAAAAUGCUAUUUUUAUUCUUCCCUUUUUCUGCUUUUAAUUGCCUAAUGCAUAAAAUAGGGUAUAAAUUCAAAAAAUUAAUUUGGAAGUGGCUAAUUCUUAUUAACGUUUUAAGUCCUCUUUUCUGCUAAAUUUGUUGUAUUUUGCAUCAUUAGUUACCCUCAUUGAAGUAGUUGCUUCCAAUUUAGUCUCUUAGGAAGUGAAGGUGAACAAAAUAUAACAAGUCCAAGAGCCUCUCACAAUUUUUGUUUCACUUUAAUAUUUCUGGAUUUAUACUCUGGUUAUGUGAUUUAUAUGCAGUAAUAAUUUACAAACAACUGUAGUUACAUUUGCAAUGAAGAAAAAUGAAAGUCACUGUGUAUAAGAUGCUUGGAAGUAGGGGCAAGUAAGAAAACCAUUAUCGGCUCCAUUUUGGUGCUCAAGUGAAAUGUGUAGGUAUUAUUAUCAGCUUCCUACUGUUCUUGAUUUUUAUAUCCUAAUCAUUCUGUUUUUCUUGUUAUUAUCAGCUCCAACAAAUUUGUUUUCUUGUUCAACAUUUCGAGGGUCAACUGCCACCUAAUUUUUCCAACUCUUGAAUCAAUCAGGUAAAUUUACUACAAGUUACUA
rnacentral:lncRNA from 1 species